AUUGAACGCUGGCGGCAGGCUUAACACAUGCAAGUCGAGCGGAGAUGAGGUGCUUGCACCUUAUCUUAGCGGCGGACGGGUGAGUAAUGCUUAGGAAUCUGCCUAUUAGUGGGGGACAACAUUCCGAAAGGAAUGCUAAUACCGCAUACGUCCUACGGGAGAAAGCAGGGGAUCUUCUGACCUUGCGCUAAUAGAUGAGCCUAAGUCGGAUUAGCUAGUUGGUGGGGUAAAGGCCUACCAAGGCGACGAUCUGUAGCGGGUCUGAGAGGAUGAUCCGCCACACUGGGACUGAAACACGGCCCAGACUCCUACGGGAGGCAGCAGUGGGGAAUAUUGGACAAUGGGGGGAACCCUGAUCCAGCCAUGCCGCGUGUGUGAAGAAGGCCUUAUGGUUGUAAAGCACUUUAAGCGAGGAGGAGGCUACUGAGACUAAUACUCUUGGAUAGUGGACGUUACUCGCAGAAUAAGCACCGGCUAACUCUGUGCCAGCCGCCGCGGUAACAC
rnacentral:rRNA from 1 species